AGAUAAGUGUGUCUUCCUGCCCUUCUGUUGGCGUGGUAACCCCUGAUUGCAGCGUCCAGGUGAAUUGAAAACCCUCCACAGCUGCCGAGUCCAAUGCAUGCUGGGACAUCCUCCAGCGAAGCACGUGUGGCAGGGCAAAGCUUUGCCUCCUCUGACCCUGAUGGAGGAGCAAGUUGGGGUCGUAACCCAGGCAACAGCCUCUGACCCCGGGUCAGCCUUCAUUGCCACGGCGACCCGGUACUUACAGGCGAACAAUAGGCCUGUGAUGGUGUGAUGGGUGCCCUGCAGGGAGAAAAUCAAGUUAAGUUCAGAAUGAAAAAAAGUGUUUAAAAUGUACACAGCUGGUUGUUAAAA